GAUGAACGCUGGCGGCGUGCCUAAUACAUGCCAGUCGAGCGAACGGACGAGAAGCUUGCUUCUCUGAUGUUAGCGGCGGACGGGUGAGUAACACGUGGAUAACCUACCUAUAAGACUGGGAUAACUUCGGGAAACCGGAGCUAAUACCGGAUAAUAUUUUGAACCGCAUGGUUCAAAAGUGAAAGACGGUCUUGCUGUCACUUAUAGAUGGAUCCGCGCUGCAUUAGCUAGUUGGUAAGGUAACGGCUUACCAAGGCAACGAUGCAUAGCCGACCUGAGAGGGUGAUCGGCCACACUGGAACUGAGACACGGUCCAGACUCCUACGGGAGGCAGCAGUAGGGAAUCUUCCGCAAUGGGCGAAAGCCUGACGGAGCAACGCCGCGUGAGUGAUGAAGGUCUUCGGAUCGUAAAACUCUGUUAUUAGGGAAGAACAUAUGUGUAAGUAUCUGUGCACAUCUUGACGGUACCUAAUCAGAAAGCCACGGCUAACUACGUG
rnacentral:rRNA from 1 species